UUCAGACCAGUGCCCACCUGCCCCUACCUUGGCUACAUCUCCUCCUUCAGCCUGGGGCCCCCAAUAAUGGGUGUCUUUCCCCUCCGCUGGAACAGGGGUGAGGCUGCUCUGUUCUGACUGUUGCCUUGUCCCUCUCAGAAUAGGGGUGCCCAGAGAGUUGUGCCUCUCCAGACCAGGGCCCUCUGCAGACAUGAGUAGGGUCUCCCCAUCAGGAAGCUCCGUGGGAGUCAGAAAUGUGUCUCUCCCUUUACUUUGGGGAUGCUCAGAGUAGAGCCUGUCUCUUCCCUCUCAGUCUGGGGCUCUCCAGGGACAAGGGUUGUGAUUUCCUGCUCAGAUUGGGGCUUUCCUGGGUCAAGUUGUGUCUCCUCCCCUCCAGCCGGGUCUCUCCUGGAUGGGUCUGACUCUUCCUUCAGACUAGGGCACUUGGGCUGGGCACUGUAGCCCCUGCUGCUGCCCCCGCCUCUCCCGCCCUAGCCAGGAGUUCAGUGCCAGGCAAGUAAUUGAAUUCCUGCACGUUAACAAGUCAAUCAUGGAGUCUUAAUGAGUCCUGAGUAAUCUCAGACAUGCGUGUUAAUUAAAUAGCUGUCCUGGUUCUAAUCCGCUGGAAGUUAAUCAUUGGGGAAUUAGGAAGUGUCAGCUAGGGAACUUCAUUAAGGCAGUGAGGGUGGGGCGUGGCCAGGGGAGGGAAGGAGCCAGGGAUCCAGGGGCAGGAGUGCCCUGUCCUGAGUUCUAGGACUGCAGGGGGGUGGGCAUCAGAGGAGUAGGGGUGCAGGGAUCCCACCUCCUUCUCUGGGCAUCAGGGUCAGGAGCCUCCCCAACCUCAGUCCUUGAUACCCUGCUUCGGUCUGAGCCCUCCUUUACCCCUCAGCUUCCAGCCAGGCUUGCCCACCCUGGCCUGCUUCAGUCUCCUGUCUAGAAAAGCUCAGGAGGAGGCAACAUCAUACACAAAGUACACAUAAUAGGGAGAGUGGAGGAGGGCUCUGCAAACAGAGGUUCUCUAGAUCCUGCUGGUGUUUGACCCCCUCCCACCCUGUCUCCAAUACCCUGCACCCUCCUUAGUCCCCCUGGAGGCAGAACUUCUCUGGAGGGCAUCACCUGCUCACCCCCUCAGACUUCCAAUGGGUCUGGCCAAUGGGAGAAUUCUGUUGGGUGGCAGCCUGUUGGUUCCUUUAAUCCUA
rnacentral:lncRNA from 1 species